rnacentral:lncRNA from 1 species
CACACACACACACACACACACAUACACCUACACAUGACCGAUUGCCUCGCCUCUAGCAUUGGGAAUCAGUCACCGUGCUGUCCUUGUGGAGUCUUGUGGCCCAACAAGAGGAAGCUCUCCCCUGACAUUGCCCCUCCAAAGUGCGCCACUUCCAGUGCGCCCCACUGUCAUGCCCGGCCUGUGGACAGCCAGACCCUGCCAUCCCUCCCACCCCCGACCAAGCAUGGGGGUGCUCUGUAGGUAGCUGUGUGGCCUGACAGUCUCUACCAGUCCUGCUGUCCCUCAGCUGAGAAUCAAACCCAUUUCUGGAUGACAGGGAAUGUGUCUUCUGCUGGCUGUGUUCUCUGUGGAGCUCAGGGGAGGGAAAAGGCCAAGCUAUUUCUAGGGUGCUGUCAGGACCGAUGAAAAGGUCACACCCUUUCCAAGAGACACUUUUCCUGGAAAGCCCCUGGAGCUUAGCUGGCUCUUAUCCUGUGAUAAGCCAGAGGCUCUGGGGGGUGAGGGAGCAGAAACCCUCCUCACCCCAGCCAACGGGGACCUGUAUACCUCUGCCAGUCUCUCACUUGGCCUUGCUGCUGUCCUCUGAGACUGCCUGUUCCUCCCUCUCUGUGACUCUACACCACCAUCACCUCCUCCAGGAAGUCCUCUGGAUUGACUCCUAGCUUAUUACAUCUUUAUUGUGCAGACCCUCUCCAUUCAAAGCCCCUCUUCAACUGCCCCCCCCCACUACCUCCAAGACAGAGAUUCUGGGUUCUUGCAACUGCAGCCCCUCAGAGAGUGUAAGAGGGGCAGAAAAAGGAGAUCAGGAGGUGAGGGAAGCAGCGCUGUCAGAGUUUCCAAAGCCCCGGCCAGCAAGGCCUCAGAGGCCUCUGUUGGAGUGGGGGCCUCCCUGGCUAUGCGCUCCAGCUGCACAAGGCAGCCUCUGUGAGCCUCUCCCACUCAGCCCUACAGGAAGCAGCAGGGCCCAGCCUCAAUGGACCCAUUCAGACCCCAGCGCUCCGGAAAGUACCUCUGCUUCCUGCCACCAUUCCACUCUGGCCAAACAGGCUCUACUCUCUUCUGAUGGGAGGAGGCCGCAGGCAGGUGGUUCAGUGGUUAGGGCCAACCAUCUACUUCAGUUCCUGUCUGGCCCAGAUCUCUGACCUUGACCAUGCCCUAGUGGGUGUAUGUAUACCUUUAGUGCAAGGGUGGUGUGACAGUUAAUACUGAGUGUCAACUUGAUUGGGUUGAAGGCUGCAAAGUAUUGACCUACUGGAAGUGUCUGUGAGGGCAUUGUAAAAGGAGAUAAACAUUUGAGUCAGUGGGCUGGGGAAGGCAGACCCACCUUUAAUACUGGUGGGUACCAUCUUUCUAAUCAGCUGCUAGCGAAUAUAAAGCAGGCAGAAAAACAUGAAAAGGUAAGAUUGGCCUAGCUUCCCAGCCUACAUCUUUCUCCCAUGCUGGACACUUCCUGCCCUCUAACAUCGGACUCCAGGUUCUUCAGUUUUGAGACUCGGAUUGGCUCUCCUUGCUCCUCAAACUUGCAGACAGCCUAUUGUGGGACCUUGUGAUUGUGUAAGUUAAUACUUCAUAAACUCCCCUUUAUAUAUCUAUCUAUAUCUAUAUCUAUUAUCUAUAUCUAUAUCUAUAUCUAUUAUCUAUAUCUAUAUCUAUAUCUAUAUCUAUAUCUGUCUAUAUCUCCUAUUAGUUCUGUCCCUCUAGGGAACCCUGAUUAACACAGGUGGGUAGGCACAGGGAAAUGUGCCCCCUUCCCCGUGGGUGCUGGGUAGGUAAAUGUUUCGCAAAGGGCUUUCUUGGGGAGAGGGAACCCUGAUUUUCAGUAUUUGCCUCUUUUCCUGGUAUAAAUAUUCCCACUGUGGGCAGUAUCACCUGCCUCUCAAAAUUCCUGAAAAUUCAACAGUUGGCUCCUGGCAGCUGCUGUGAGCCGUUCCAGCCGGUGACUGUGGUGGCUCCAUCCUGCAGGGCCAUGUGCCCCCACCCCUUGUGCUAUGGCCUCCCUCACUUUAGUGUGCUGUGUUUUGCUCUUAGGAAUCAAUGUCUUUGCAGAUAAGGCACCCCAGUAGCUGGCCACCACCUGCAGUUCCCUGGUCUGUCUCUUGCUGGCACCAAGCUGUGCUGUGCCUGCUGAGACUGCUGGGCCACCCCCGUGCAUAUGGUCUGCGGGGCUUACUUGAUUCCCUUAGCUUCCCAGCCAAGGUGCUGGUGUUGCCAGCAGUGCUGGCAGGAGGAGGGGAUAACUAGAGGGGAUUUAACUCAACCCGAGGGGCUCUUACGGGAUCUUUCCUGGAUAUCCCUCCAGGUGGGACUGGCUGCCCUGAGGGUAUACAAACCUCCAACUCCUCCAAUGGCUGAAGCUACUUCCUCGAGCAGAUGGCAGCUGGCUCAGGCUGGCUAGGGACCAGUGCAUGUGAGGUCGGUGCUGGAUCACCCCAUCAAGGCCAUCAGCCUGUGCUUGUUCUUGGGGUUUGAGGGAAACCCAACAGGGAUGAAUCACAGUUUUUAACCUGUGUUUGUCUGCCCCCCAGCCCUGGACAUCUGCAGGCAAAGUUAAAGUUAUAUUUGGCUCUUAUCACCGCAAAAGGCAUAAACCAGAAAUUAUGGCAUCGGGUUGGAAGUCAGGGAGGCUAAUUUGGGGAAACUGCCUGGAGGAAGCAGCAACUCAAAAGAGGAGGAGUCCCACUGUGGGACAGAACAGGCCCUGCAUAAGAACCACUAAUCCCAGGCAAGCCCAGACAUGGCCUUCUGCCUGGGGAGGCCCUCUUUGGCCUGCUCAGCAGACCCUCAGCCCCUUCUAGGCCCUGUCUUCAGCCUCAGACUGAGUGGUGGCCUGGGGAGGUUGGGAGCUGAGCUGUUCUCAUCCCUGGUUCCUUGGCCACGGUGGAAACAAUGGGGCCGGAUCUGACUGCUCAGCGGGGACUGUGAAUAGCUCUCUAGCAGGAAGCAACAGCAGGGGUAGUGGAGGAAGUGUGGGCCCACUUUGGUUUGACACUGCAUAUGGUCCCCAUCUGGCCUGAGAGCCUUUACUCCUUGGCAAACUCAGGCCAAUAAGCUCCUGCCCCCACCCUCAAUGGCAGCUGGAAGAAUGGCCUGAGGGAGAAGCAGGGAUAGGUGGGCUGCAGUGACAUCACCCCCAGAUCCCAGCCGUGGCCCCAGCCAACCCAUGGAGGUGGGGCAUGGCACGGCAGGUGCUGCACAGGAGCCCAAGCACAAGAGCACUUAGGAGAAGGAAUCUGAGCAGGGAUCGAUCUGGCCUGGUGGUGAUUCUCCAGAAACUCCAUUCCUCAGGGCUGUGACCACCAAGCCAGGUGAUCAGGCCAGUGAUGUUUCCCUUUGGGCCAGGUCGGGGAGCCAGACCUGGGAGGGAGACUCCUCUGGGGCCCAGGGGAGGUGAGUCAGAGCUGGCAGAGGCCUCUGGCUCCAGGAACCUCCAAGGAGGAGACCUGAGUUGCUGGGAAUUUCUGGGUCUGACCUCCUGCCAAGUCAAGGUCUGGGCUGGACACAAGGUGAGGCUGUGCCUUCUGGUGCCAGGACCAAGGAAAUGCUGGGAUCUGGGCAGUGCUCAGAGGCAGCACCGUAUGGCAGAACCAUGAGGGUGCACCAGCACGGACCCCUUUCUGCAACCCACCCAUCCCUCCCUGCAGCACCUCGCCUCCUCCAGGCAAGAAUCUGAGCCUUGACCACAGCUCCCUCUCUCACACAGCUUCCUUCUUUGGUUAGAACCACCCGGAGGUGACUGUGGCCAUGGCUCUGACUGACAUAGACCUGCAGCUGCAGUUCUCCAUGUCCCAACCCGAAGCCCUCCUUCUCCUGGCAGCAGGCCCAGCUGACCACCUCCUGCUGCAGCUCUACUCUGGACACCUGCAGGUCAGGCUUGUCCUGGGCCAGGAGGAGCUGAGGCUGCAGACCCCAGCAGAAAUUCUACUGAGUGACUCCGUCCCCCACACCACAGUUCUGACUGUCUCAGAGGACUGGCCCACAUUGUCAGUCAAUGGGUUUCUGAAUGCCUCCUCUGUAGUCCUGGGAGCCCCCCUAGAAGUCCCCUAUGGGCUCUUUGUUGGGAGCACUGGGAGACUUGGCCUGCCCUACCUGAGGGGAACCAGCCAUCCCCUGAGGGGUUGCCUCCAUGCAGCCGCUCUCAAUGGCCGCAGACUCCUCCAGCCUCUGACCCCCAAUAAGCAUGAGGGCUGUGCUGAAGAGUUUUCUGCCAAUGACGAUGUGGCCCUGGGCUUCUCUGGGUCCCACUCUCUGGCUGCCUUGCCUGCCUGGGGCACUCAGGAUGAAGGAACCCUGGAGUUUACACUCACCACACAGAGCUGGCAGGCACCCUUGGCCUUCCAGGCAGCAGGCUGGCAUGGGGACUUCAUCCAUGUGGACAUAUUUGAGGGCCACCUGUGGUCCAUGGUUGAGAAGGGCCAGGGUACUGUAUUGCUCCUCAACAGUGUGCCUGUGACUGACGCACAGCCCCACAAGGUCAGCAUCCACAUCAACAUUCACCAGCUAGAAAUCUCCAUGGACCAGUACCCCACACGAACUGAGGAGUCCUCAGCUACCUGGAGCCACGUGACAGUCUCCUUCUUGGGGAGCUGGUUGCAGAGGCCUCUCAUCACCUCCAGGAACACCGCUCAGGCCUGACACCAGGGGCUGCCAAUGCCUCCCUGCUGGGCUGGCUGCAUGGAAGACCUCAGUGUCAAUGGCUAGAGGCAGGGGCUGUGGGAAGCCUUGCUGACGCACAACAUGGUGGCUGGCUGCAGACUGGAGGAGGUAGACAAUGCCUAUGGCCAUUAUGAAGCUUUCUCCACCCUGGCUCCCAAGGCUUGGCUGUCUGUGGAGCUAGCUGAGCCAUGCGUGCCUGAGCCAGGGCUACCUCCUGUCUUUGCCAAUUUCAUCCAGCUGCUAUCAGCGCAGUGGUGGUGACCGAGGGUGGCACAGCCUGGCUUGAGUGGUGGCAUGUGCAGCCCAUGCUGGCACUGAUGGAGGCUGAACUGCGUAAAUCCCAGGUGCUGUUCAGUGUGACCUGAGGGGCACACUACAGCGAGCUCGAGCUGGAUGUCCUGGGUGCCCAGGCAUGAAAAAUGUUCACCCUCCUGGACGUGGUGAACUGCAAGGCCCGCUUCAUCCACGAUGGCCCUGAGGACACCUCUGACCAGCUGGUGCUGGAGGUGUCAGUGAUGGCUUGGUUGCCCAUGCCCUCAUGCCUGCGGAGGGGCCAAACAGACCUCCUGCCCAUCCAGGUCAACCCUGUCAAUGACCCACCCCACAUCAUCUUCCCACAUGGCAGCCUUAUGGUGAUCCUGGAACACACACAGAAGCCUCUGGGGCCUGAGGUUCUCCAGGCCUAUGACCUGGACUCUGCCUGUGAGGGCCUCGCCUUCCAGCUCCUUGGCACCCCCUCUGGCCUCCCCGUGGAUCACCGAGACCAGCCUGGGGAGCCGGUGACUGAGUUCUCCUGCUGGGAGUUGGAGGCCGGCAGCCUAGUCUAUGUCCACUGUGGUGGCCCUACACAGGACUUGACAUUCCGGGUCAGCAAUGGACUGCAGGCCAGCCCCCCGGCCAUGCUGAAGGUGGUGGCUGUCCAGCUGGCCAUACAAAUCCACCGCAGCACAGGGCUGCAUCUGGCCCAGGGCUCUGCCAUGCCCAUCUUGCCUACCAACCUGUUGGUGGAGACCAGCGCCGUGGGGCAGGAUGUGACCGUGCUGUUCCAUGUCACCGGAGGCCUGCCGUUCAGGGAGCUGCAGAAGCAGGGGGCUGGUGGGGUGGAGGAUGCUGAGUGGUGGGUCACACAGGCGUUCCACCAGCAGGAUGUGGAGCAGGGCCACGUGAGGUACCGCAGCACUGACCCACAGCACUACACCGAGGACACCGUGGAGAACCUGGAUCUGCAGGUGCAGGUGAGCUGGGAAAUCCUGAGCAAUCUGUCCUUCCUAGUGACCAUCCAGAGAGCCACUGUGUGGAUGCUGCAGCUGGAGCCACUGCACACUCAGAACACCCAGCAGGAGGCCCUCACCACAGCCCACCUGGAGGCCACCCUGGAGGAGGCAGGCCCAAGCCCCCCAACCUUCCACUGUGAGGUGGUUCAGGCUCCCAGGAAAGGCAACUUUCAACUACAGGGCACGAUGCUGUCAGACGGUCAGGGCUUCACCCAGGAUGACGUACAGGCUGCAGAGGUGACCUAUGGGGCCAUGGCACGUGCCUCAGUGGCAGUGGAGGACACCUUCUGUUUCCAUGUCACAGCUCCACCAUAUUUCUCCCCACUCUGUACCUUCUCCAUCCAUAUUGGCGGUGACCCAGACAUGCCUGUCCUCACCAAUGUCCUCGUGGUGCCCGAGGGUGGUGGGUGUGUCCUCUCUGCUGACCAGCUCUUCGUCAAGAGCCUCAACAGUGCCAGGUACCUCUAUGAGGUCAUGUAGCAGCCCUGCCAUGGGAGGUUCUUAGCGUGGGACACAGGACAAGAUCACUAUGGUGACAUCCUUCACCAAUGGAGACCUGUUGCGUGGCCAGCUGGUCUAGCAGCAUGAUGACUCCGAGAUCACGGAAGAUGAUAUGCCAUUUGCUGCUGCCGCCAGGACCAGAGCAGUGGUGACGUGGCCUGGGAGGAGGUACGGGGCCAUCCAGCCUGUGAAUGACCACGCCCCUGUGCAGAGCAUCAGCUGCGUCUUCCAUGUGGCCUGGGGUAGGUGGCAGCUGCUGACUACAGACAACAUGGCCUUCAGCAAUGCUGAUUCGGGCUUUGUGGAUGCCCAGCUGGUGCUGACCCACAAGGACCUCCUCUCUGGCAGUAUCAUGGCCACGGAUGAGCCCAUGCAGCCCAUCUGCUGCUUCAUCCAGGAGGGGCCUCAGGAAGAGGCGAGUCCUGUUCACGCACUCAGGCUGACUACAGCUGGAUCCUGCUGCAGGUGUCCGACAGGCAGCACCAGGCCAUCAUGGUGCUGGAGGUGCAGGCCUUGGAGCCUUACCUCUGUGUGGCCAUUCUCUUUGGCCACAAUGGCAGCCUCAGCUCCCGCAACACCCUGGCCUUCUCAAUGGAUGUGGGGCCUUCUCAAUGGAUGUGGGGCCAGUGCACACAGAUGCCACCCUACAAGUGACCAUUGCCCUAGAGGGCCCACUAGCCCCACUGAAGCUGGCCUGGCACAAGAAGAUCUACAUCUUCCAGGGAGAGGCAGCUGAGAUCAGAAGAGACCAGCUGGAGACCACGGAGUUCAUCAUCUCGGAGCCACUGGCCAAUAUGUACUCGCGUGGGAACCAGAACACACUGAUGGAGGAGUGGGCAGAGUAGGCACAGUGGCACGACGAGAUGCUGCGCAUGCACCACGUGCUGAAGGAGGCGCUCAGCAUCAUCAGUGACACCACCAGGACCACCGUCAGCAUGCCCAUGCCCCUGCCCGCGGACGACACCUGGGUGCAGGUGCAGAGCAUCUCUGAGGAACAAAGGUGCCAGGGCCUGCCCCCCACAGCCCCAAAGUACCCCCCGCCCGGGCCGCACAGAGGGAUGCCCCUGCAUCGGGGUGGCUCCCACCUGGAGUGAGGGGUGGAGCUUGCCAAGGAGCACUGGCUGCGGGGCGGGGUGGAGCUGGGAUGUUCUCACCACUGGGGUCUGGGCUUAAGCUUGGGCGACUGCCUCGGGGCACGGCAGGGAGGAGCUUCCGUGCAUGGGUGUGGCCGGGGCGGGGCCUCAGGGGGGCAGAGCCACCCAUCUCUCCCCUCCCUAUGCCUUGCAGGUCGCCCAAGUCCAGCCCCAGGAUGCCCAGACCCCACCAUGUCCCUAGCCCGGCCUGGGUGGCGGGGCCCAGCUCUUGGGCUUCCUCUUGCCAGGUCCGCCCUUGGGGAAGCGUGCCCCGUACCCUCCAGGCUAGAGGCUUCCCCUGAUCCCUUCAGCCCCUACCCCGCCAAGUGCGCUCAUGCCCCACGCGGGGUCUCCAAGUGAGUAGGGGCUGAAUGCAGCCAAAGAGGCUGCUGGACGGGCGUGGCCGGGAAGGAAAUGGGACUGGAGUCCAGAGCAUCAGACCUGGCCGCCUCCAUCCAAGGCAUUGGGACCAUGGGUGCCGGAGCCACGUGUGGCUGAGGGCUGGCGGAGCCUGCUCCCCAGGGAGCACUGAUUCCUGGAGGUGGUCGUUUUUGAGGGGGCUGUGGGGCUUGUCUUACCUGCCCCCUUCUGUCCAGCACUUGCAUGGCACUUCCCUCUAUUUUCACUCUUGGCGGCUGCCCACACGUUGCAUUUCUCUUCCUUUCUUCUUCUCGCUGUCCUCCAUCCUCCAUUCUGUCCAACUCCUAUCCCAGCCCCUGGGGAGCCUACCUCAGGUCUGAGAGUCUGGGUGUGUGGAUUUCCUUCAGCUACCCGGAUGUCCCCACAGGCAAUCUGAUUUUUUCUCCACAUCUGGACCCCUCCCCCUCUAUCCCUAACCCUGUCUAAACUAAUGGCGCAGUGGUAGCUGCAAGGGCAGGGAUGGGAGUGGCUGAAGCCUACUUCACUCCCAAAGAUUUCUAAGGAAAAUGGUUCUACUGCAUCCUUUGGCUGGGCCUUGUUGACCCGUGACCCUCUUCCAAGAACAUUCACUCUG